CUUCAAUCCAGUCUUCUUCCUUCUUCCGUAUGCACGGAUCGUCACACUGUGCGCAGCCUAUCACUGGAAGAAGUCCGGAGGACUGAACAACUGUAGCGGCGCUUCGGGGGACCGGAGGAAGAGUUUGUUAAUUCAUUCCCUUGCUGUAAUGCUUCCCUCAAACGUUUCCAGAAAACUUUUCUUUCUACAUAUCCAUCCACCCACUUCAGCCCAGACUUCCUUUACAAAAUCUCUUGAAGACUACAGAUUUGCUGCCCAGAUUUGUUUGGCCCCUCUUUGGUGCAGUUCAUAUGCUUUAGAGCAGUGAAUCUCAAAAGUGGGUGAUAUUGCCCUCUGGGGGUAACAGG